ACCCCGAAAAGGGGGAUGAAAUAGUCUCUGAAACCAAUGACGUACGCGCAGUUGGAGCCGUCCUCCAUGCUUCGGCAUGGAGAUCAACGGUGACAGCGUGCUUUUUGCAGAACGAGCCAACGAGCUUGUCUUUACUGGCAAGGCUAAGUGCCUCCGGCACGGAGCCGUAGUGAAAGCAAGGGGUAACCCCCGACUUAGUCAGUAGAGCAAAGCCCGAAACCGGGUGAGCUACCCAUGGGCAGGUUGAAGCAACCGUAACAGGUUGUGGAGGACCGAACCGACUCAUCGUGCAACGUGAGCGGAUGACCUGUGGGUAGGGGUGAAAAGCCUACCGAACCCGGAAAUAGCUGGUUCUCUCCGAAAUGACUCUAGGGUCAGCCUCAUGCGUUCCCCAUCGGGGGUAGAGCACUGGUAGGAUUUGGAUGGCUUCGGCCUACCGCAUCCUGACAAACUCCGAAUACCGAUGGAUCAAGAGCAUGGGAGUGAGACUGUGGGGGCAAAGCUCCAUGGUCGCAAGGGAAACAGCCCAGAUCGUCGUCU
rnacentral:rRNA from 1 species